AAGAGCGAGAGAGAGACAAUGAGAAUAUGAGAGAAAAUAAGUAGAAACACUUAAAACACUGAUAGUGAUAAAGUGAUGGACUCUGAUGGUGGGGACUUGAUCUAAUGGCUUAAAUGAGGUGCCAUGUUUCCUGCCGGUAAAUAUUCGAUACCUGCUUAUCCACUCAGAAAAACGAUUCUCAUUACCUUAUCUUAUGGAGUUCAUUGAGAGAGCAGAGGCUGAGUUAAGUUCCCAAGAUUCCUCCUACACGUUGUGUUAACGUUUCCUGUUAUAGAACUUGUAUUGGUUGGUGUUUGAUUUAGUUAUCCUAACCACACCCUGAAGCCACAAAGUCAGCUGGAGAAAGACUGCUUCAAGUACUCAAUCCUUUUUUAAUCAAAGCUAAGAUAGAAUGCUAAUAAAAUUUUUUUUCAAACCAAUUUCUAAAGCUCAUUACUCAAAGUAAAAAUGAAAGAGAUAAGCUAUGUUUAUUUGGAAUGUCCUACCCUCUGAUAGAACAUUCUUGUUAGGCUUAUUUUUAAAAUAUUAGAAUCUUCCUCACAGUUGAUCAGCUUCCCUGAAUGGGUCACUGAAAUGUUAUCUCUUCAGGGCAGAUUUGACUGUGGCAGGUUUUGCCAGCACGUGUGGUACUUUAUCCCGAAGCUCAUGUACUCUGGUUUGAAUGGUGUCUAAUUGUUGGGAGCCGCAGCCCCGAGCCCGGUCGCCUCACUUGGCGGACGUGAGGCCUGUAGUAAAGAGUAAAGCCUGAGGUAGAUUACCCCUCCCAUCGAGCACGUUAGUUUCCUGCUUACCGCGUAAGCAACCCGCUCAACAAUAUAGUCUGCCUGGCAACUGAUGAUGUUAGCCAAUCAGCUUGCCUUGCUCACUUUAACAUGAUUGGACACUGUAUCCGUAUAUAUACUGGUGCCACCCCUGGGGGGGAAGAAGAAGCCCGGAAGUAAAAGCCCAGAAGGAGCCGCAGGGAGCGGACCAGAGGAGGCUUCGGCUGGGAGCGAUCCCAGGGCAGGCUGUACGGAGAAAGAAAAAUAAAAAGAAAAGGUUGUCCACUGCCAGACUUUGUCGUGUGUCCUUCCUGCCGGCCGGGAGCGGACAUCGACAUUUGGUGGCCCGCACGGGGAUUGAUCAACCCCGAGACGCGGCGGUGGACUGCAUUCUCCUACACAGUGCUGCAGCUGCAGGACAGGAAUCGGGACGAGAGCCAAUGUGGGUCCCAGAGAGGUUGACGCGACAAGUCCCUCGACUGAAGAUCAGGCCUGUUCCACCAGAGGCCAACCGCAGACCCAACAACAA